GCUGAAGCAGAACUAUGUGGAGCUUGAAAGUGUGUCUUUCUUGCCAAUAGAAGUUGGUUCAAUAAAAGAGAUUACCUCACCCACCUUGUCUCUCU